rnacentral:sRNA from 1 species
AUAAAAUAGAAAAAUAAAA